rnacentral:lncRNA from 1 species
GCAAGGACAUAUGCUCCCCCUCCCCUACCUAAAGCCCCAAAUAAAAACCCUUCCUUCUAGCUUUUUGGGGAGUUUGGGAUUUCAGCGUUAGCUGCCCUCUCUUCUUGCUCAGCACUGUGCAAAAAUAAAAUUUCUACUUUAUUCCACCACACCCGGUGUCAGAGAUUGGCUUGCUGCACAACGGGACACAAUUGGAAACAGUGGUUAUAUUACCAAGGCUUUGACUGGAACAUCAUGUUUGAAAAAACAUACGGGCUUGGAUAUAACAAGACAGCUUUUGAGGAAUGAAGGUUGACAUUCUGGAAUAAAGCCACUUGGAAAUAUUGGCCUGAAAAACUCUUUAUUAAAUACCUGGUUACUUACUUACAUGAUACAGGCCUACCUUCAGGAGCCCACCAGCAUCACUGCCUUAUUAAAAGACUGGUUCAAUGAGAUGAAACGACCUACGCCCCAUUUCAGCAGGAAGUAGCUAGAUCGGUUGCCACCCCAAAUCCCUCAAGAUUGAGGGAUGGACAUAAAAUAGGGGGGAAGUUGACACUGAUCCUGAUAUCAGUUUCCCCACACUAAACCCAGCAUAUAUGGGGUUAAAAGCAAAACAACCAUUCCCUGCUUGCUCUCUGGCUUCCUGGCUCCAGAAUCCACUAUUCUCCAUGGAGACAGACAUCAUCAAGGACAAGCACCUGGACUAUCUCCUCCCACAAAGAUAUACGGGCUGGUGGGAAAGCUGCUGACCAGCAAGGUCAUGAGCUCGCUCCUGUCUGCAAGUAGUCUCAAGGCCAAAGACAAGCUGGUGGGAAAGCUCCAACCAGCAAGGCCAUAUGCUCCCCCUCCCCUACCUAAAGCCCCAAAUAAAAACCCUUCCUUCUAGCUUUUCGGGGAGUUUGGGAUUUCAGCGUUAGCUGCCCUCUCUCCUUGCUCAGCACUGUGCAAAAAUAAAAUUUCUACUUUCUUC